rnacentral:lncRNA from 1 species
GACCGUCUGGCGGAUGCGCAGGAAGCGGCCGCGCUGGUUCUCCUUGAGAUCCAUGUAGUACUUGCGGUUCUCGCGCACCAGGAACUCGCUCUUGAGCGCCCGGCGCGGCUCGUCCUGUGCCUGGGCCAGGUCCGGCGGCUGGCUGGGGCCCAGCUGCGCGUAGUGCUCGAUGAAGUCGCCCAGGUAGUCGCGGAACUCCACGGCCACUGACAUGGAGAGAGUGAGGCGGCUCUUGUUGCCGCCCGCGCCCACCUCGGCGAUCUUCAGGAAGCGGCCCUUGGCGUUCUGCUUCACGUCCAGUCCACCAAAAGAUGUCAAACCAAAUCCAGCCUAUUGUAAAGCUCUGGGACCUCCCUUCCAAGGACACCGAACACAAACAUAGACACCGCUGCGAAAAGCUGUCCAAAAGCGCCUGGCCGGCCAGAAAUGGAGUGUCAGCCACGUCUAGCGCACAGUCCCAGGCCCCAGGGCGAAGGCGGCCAGGGGAAAUGGGGCUCAGGGAUUGCUAAGGAAACGCAUCACUGGUGGUCUCCAGCGCCUGCGGAGGGACGGGACUUCACCGUGUUAGCCAGGAUGGUCUCGAUCUCCUGACCUCAUGAUCCGCCCACCUUGGCCUCCCAGAGUGCUGAGAUUACAGGCGUGAGCCACUGUGCCCAGUCAUAGCUGGAACUUUCAUACAUUCUGAUGGGAAUGCAAAAUCAUAUAACCAUUUCAGGGAACAGUUUGGUAAUUUCCUAUAAAGUUAAACAUAAGUAUUUAAGUUUAUGAGAGGAAAUUGGAGAAGCAGGCAUGGGCCAGGUCAUUCUAAGUGUUGUGGUAAAAUGUUUGGAUAUUAUUCUUUCUCAUAUGAAGUCACUGAAGGAUUUUUGUUUGUUUCUUUGUUUUUGAGACAAGGUCUUGUCUUGUUGCCCAGGCUGGAGUGCAGUGGCCCAAUCUUGGCUCACUGCAGCUCGACCUCCUGGGCUUCAGUGAUUCUUUCAUCUAAGCUUCCUGAGUAGCCGAGACUACAGGCAUGCACCACCAUGCCCAGCUAUUUUUUUUUUUUUUAAUUUAAUAGAGACGGGGUCUCCCUAUGUUG